rnacentral:rRNA from 1 species
UAGGUCUUAGUGAUCCGGCGAUUCCGCAUGGAAGGGUCGUCGCUCAACGGAUAAAAGGUACUCCGGGGAUAACAGGCUUAUCUCCCCCAAGAGUCCAUAUCGACGGGGAGGUUUGGCACCUCGAUGUCGGCUCAUCGCAUCCUGGGGCUGGAGCAGGUCCCAAGGGUUUGGCUGUUCGCCAAUUAAAGCGGUACGUGAGCUGGGUUUAGAACGUCGUGAGACAGUUCGGUCCCUAUCUGCCGUGGGUGUAGGAAUUUUGAGAGGAGCUGUCCUUAGUACGAGAGGACCGGGAUGGACAUACCUCUGGUGGACCAGUCGUCAUGCCAAUGGCGCAGCUGGGUAGCUAUGUAUUGAAUGGAUAACCGCUGAAAGCAUCUAAGCGGGAAACCAGCCUCAAAACAAGAAUUCCCUUGAGAGCCGUGGAAGACCACCACGUUGAUAGGCCGGGUGUGGAAGCACAGCAAUGUGUGAAGCUAACCGGUACUAAUUGCUCGAUUGACUUGAUCGUCCUCAUG